GUGGGGAAUCUUAGACAAUGGGCGCAAGCCUGAUCUAGCCAUGCCGCGUGAGCGAUGAAGGCCUUAGGGUUGUAAAGCUCUUUCAGGGGGGAAGAUAAUGACGGUACCCACAGAAGAAGCCCCGGCUAACUUCGUGCCAGCAGCCGCGGUAAUACGAAGGGGGCUAGCGUUGUUCGGCUUUACUGGGCGUAAAGCGCACGUAGGCGGAUCGUUAAGUCGGGGGUGAAAUCCUGGAGCUCAACUCCAGAACUGCCUUCGAUACUGGCGAUCUUGAGUCCGGAAGAGGUGAGUGGAACUCCUAGUGUAGAGGUGGAAUUCGUAGAUAUUAGGAAGAACACCAGUGGCGAAGGCGGCUCACUGGUCCGGUACUGACGCUGAGGUGCGAAAGCGUGGGGAGCAAACAGGAUUAGAAACCCUUGUAGUCC
rnacentral:rRNA from 1 species